AUGAAGAACGUAGCGAAAUGCGAUACGUAGUGUGAAUUGCAGAAUUCAGUGAAUCAUCGAAUCUUUGAACGCACAUUGCGCCCUUUGGUAUUCCAAAGGGCAUGCCUGUUCGAGCGUCAUUUGUACCCUCAAGCUUUGCUUGGUGUUGGGCGUCUUGUCUCCAGUCCGCUGGAGACUCGCCUUAAAGUCAUUGGCAGCCGGCCUACUGGUUUCGGAGCGCAGCACAAGUCGCACUCUUUUCCAGCCAAGGUCAGUGUCCAACAAGCCUUUUUUCAACUUUUGACCUCGGAUCAGGUAGGGAUACCCGCUGAACUUAAGCAUAUCAAUAAGCGGAGGA
rnacentral:misc_RNA from 1 species